rnacentral:rRNA from 1 species
AUUGAACGCUGGCGGCAUGCUUUACACAUGCAAGUCGAACGGCAGCGCGGGCUUCGGCCUGGCGGCGCGUGGCGAACGGGUGAGUAAUACAUCGGAACGUGCCCAGUAGUGGGGGAUAGCUCGGCGAAGGCCGGAUUAAUACCGCAUACGACCUGAGGGUGAAAGCGGGGGAUCUUCGGACCUCGCGCUAUUGGAGCGGCCGAUGGCAGAUUAGCUAGUUGGUGGGGUAAAGGCCUACCAAGGCGACGAUCUGUAGCUGGUCUGAGAGGACGACCAGCCACACUGGGACUGAGACACGGCCCAGACUCCUACGGGAGGCAGCAGUGGGGAAUUUUGGACAAUGGGCGAAAGCCUGAUCCAGCAAUGCCGCGUGUGUGAUGAAGGCCUUCGGGUUGUAAAGCACUUUUGGCGGGAACGAAAAGGACUGUGCCAAUACCACGGUUCGAUGACGGUACCCGCAGAAUAAGCACCGGCUAACUACGUG